UACGGGGGAUGCAAGCGUUAUCCGGAUUUAUUGGGUUUAAAGGGUGCGUAGGCGGGCUGUUAAGUCAGCGGUCAAAUGUCGGGGCUCAACCCCGGCCUGCCGUUGAAACUGGCUUGCUAGAGUGGGCGAGAAGUAUGCGGAAUGCGUGGUGUAGCGGUGAAAUGCAUAGAUAUCACGCAGAACUCCGAUUGCGAAGGCAGCAUACCGGCGCCCAACUGACGCUCAGGCACGAAAGCGUGGGUAUCGAACAGG
rnacentral:rRNA from 1 species